rnacentral:rRNA from 1 species
CCUACGGGAGGCAGCAGUGAGGAAUAUUGGUCAAUGGACGAAAGUCUGAACCAGCCAAGUAGCGUGAAGGAUGACUGCCCUAUGGGUUGUAAACUUCUUUUAUAUGGGAGUAAAAUGUUCCACGUGUGGGAUGUUGUAUGUACCAUAUGAAUAAGGAUCGGCUAACUCCGUGCCAGCAGCCGCGGUAAUACGGAGGAUCCGAGCGUUAUCCGGAUUUAUUGGGUUUAAAGGGAGCGUAGGUGGGUUGUUAAGUCAGUUGUGAAAGUUUGGGGCUCAACCGGAAAAUUGCAUUUGAUACUGGCAGUCUAGAGUACAGUAGAGGUAGGCGGAAUGCGUGGUGUAGCGGUGAAAUGCUUAGAUAUCACGAAGAACUCCGAUUGCGAAGGCAGCUUACUAAACUGCGACUGACAUUGAGGCUCGAAAGUGUGGGUAGCAAACAGGAUUAGAUACCCGGGUAGUC